rnacentral:rRNA from 1 species
GAUGAACGCUGGCGGCGUGCCUAAUACAUGCAAGUCGAGCGAACAGACGAGGAGCUUGCUCCUCUGAUGUUAGCGGCGGACGGGUGAGUAACACGUGGAUAACCUACCUAUAAGACUGGGAUAACUUCGGGAAACCGGAGCUAAUACCGGAUAAUAUAUUGAACCGCAUGGUUCAAUAGUGAAAGACGGUUUUGCUGUCACUUAUAGAUGGAUCCGCGCCGCAUUAGCUAGUUGGUAAGGUAACGGCUUACCAAGGCAACGAUGCAUAGCCGACCUGAGAGGGUGAUCGGCCACACUGGAACUGAGACACGGUCCAGACUCCUACGGGAGGCAGCAGUAGGGAAUCUUCCGCAAUGGGCGAAAGCUUGACGGAGCAACGCCGCGUGAGUGAUGAAGGUCUUCGGAUCGUAAAACUCUGUUAUUAGGGAAGAACAAAUGUGUAAGUAACUAUGCACGUCUUGACGGUACCUAAUCAGAAAGCCACGGCUAACUACGUG